CCUACGGUGGGCAGCCGUGAGGAAUAUUGGUCCAUGGUCGGGCGACUGAACCAGCCAAGCCGCGUGAGGGAGGAAGGUACAGAGUAUCGUAAACCUCUUUUGUCAGGGAACAAAGGCGGGGACGUGUCCCCGGAUGAGUGUACCUGAAGAAAAAGCAUCGGCUAACUCCGUGCCAGCCGCCGCGGUAAUACGGAGGAUGCGAGCGUUAUCCGGAUUUAUGGGGUUAAAGGGGUGCGCAGGCGGUCUGUUCAGUCAGCGGUCAAAGCCCGGGGCUCAACCCCGGCCCGCCGUUGAAACUGGCAGUCGCGAGUUGGAGAGAAGUAUGCGGAAUGCGCGGUGUAGCGGUGAAAUGCAUAGAUAUCGCGCAGAACUCCGAUUGCGAAGGCAGCAUGCCGGCUCCACACUGACGCUGAGGCACGAAAGCGUGGGUAUCGAACAGGAUUAGAUACCCGUGUAGUC
rnacentral:rRNA from 1 species